GAGACUGGAAGAGGAACUUUCUCUCGGCCCUUCUGUCUGAGGAAGCCUCGAAGAGCUCCAGCAGCCCUAACUCCCGGAAUGCCCACCGGGCUGAAGAUCAUGCCCUAAGCAUGUGUAAUUUUCAACAUAAGUCCUCGAGUUGUCCCAACAAUCCAGCAAAAUAAGCAGGAAAAAUACUUGUAGCCCCAUUUUUCUGAAGAGGAUACUAGACUCAAAGGAGUUAAGAAAUCUGCUUUCCCGCCGCAUCGACACCAAAAACAACUGAGAAAGUGACCUGCACAGGGCAGGCUGUGACUGGCGUUGGGAGUGAGGAGUGGAUGCAUUCACUUCUUUCAAAGAAGCUUCCAGAGGGGGACAACCCAAGUCCUACAGCAUUUCCUCCAGGAGAAGUGCGGAGGCGAUAAGGGAUCGGCAGGAUGGAAAUGUUAUCAUCGGGCUCAGCAGCCUGACAGGUCUGUCCUGACUCCACCACCUGGCCACGUGCGCAUCGUCAAGCUGGUCAACUUCCUUCUGUUGCUGGAAUUAUUGAGAAAUCUGCUGGAUGCCUUCCUCAGAGUCUCACUGUGAGCACUAGAUGGAUGAAUCUUGGUGGAGCGGCAGGCAGCGCCUGUCACAUAGCAGUGGGUUACUAAACUGCAGAGAACACCGGCAUUGGCUUUCGUCCUCAGAACCCGAGCCUGUAUCCUGACAACCCAGCACCUAGAAGUAAGACUGAGUGAGGGAAAGCAGGUGAGAAACCCCACACUGAGACACCAGGGCAUUCUAACUGGACAGAAACAUAGAAGAACGACAGGGCCCCGGAAGACCGAAGUCCCCAGAGCAUCCCGGCACUAAAAAGAGGACUCCAAGAAACCAAGAGAGAAAAGAAUCUUCUGGGGCUCUUACGAAAGAGGGCCAGAGCAGGGCUGAGAGAAAAAGCACAGGAUGCCCUGUUAAAAUUUGAGUGUCAGAUAAGUAACGGAUCAUUUUUUCGGUAAGUAUGUCCCAAAUACCGCAUAACCUCGACUUAUGGCAUGGGACGUACUUAUGCUAAAAAUCUGUUCACUGUUGGGGCACCUGGGUGGCUCAGUCAUUAAGCGUCUGCCUUCGGCUCGGGUCAUGAUCCCAGGGUCCUGGGAUCAAACCCGGCAUGAGGC